GGGUGUUUGGCAGAACGGCUAUGCAACUGGCUUUUAACCAGUCUGACACAGGUUCAACUCCUGUAGCACCCACCA
rnacentral:tRNA from 1 species